rnacentral:rRNA from 1 species
AGCAGCCGCGGUAAUUCCAGCUCCAAUAGCGUAUAUUAAAGUUGUUGCAGUUAAAAAGCUCGUAGUUGAAUUUCGAGAUCAAAUUGUUGGUCGUGCUUCGGUACGUACUGGCAUUAUUGAUUUCUCCCUUCUGAAGAACCACGAUGUCAUUAAUUUGGUGUCGUGGGGAAUCAGGACUGUUACUUUGAAAAAUUAGAGUGUUUAAAGCAGGCUCACGCUUGAAUACAUUAGCAUGGAAUAAUGAAAUAGGACGUUUGAUUCUAUUUUGUUGGUUUCUAGGAUCGACGUAAUGAUUAAUAGGGAUAGUUGGGGGCAUUAGUAUUCAAUUGUCAGAGGUGAAAUUCUUGGAUUUAUUGAAGACUAACUACUGCGAAGGCAUUUGCCAAGGAUGUUUUCAUUAAUCAAGAACGAAAGUUAGGGGAUCGAAGACGAUCAGAUACCGUCGUAGUC